rnacentral:rRNA from 1 species
UUUAGGAAGUUGGGUCAAGGUUUCCGUAGGUGAACCUGCGGAAGGAUCAUUGUCGAUGCCUUGCAAGCAGUCCAACCUGUGAAUCAGUUUGACUACAUCGGGUUGGAUUGGGGUGUGCAACACCUCAACCUCCCUUGGGUUAGGAGGGGGCCACGCACUGUGUUCUCUCCUCUUAGCCAAAACACAAACCCCGGCGCUGAAUGCGCCAAGGAACUAAAAUUCGUUCAGUGCGCCCCCGCCGGCCCGGAGACGGUGCUCGUGCGGGUGGCGUUUUGACACGUGAUGCAGAAUGACUCUCGGCAACGGAUAUCUAGGCUCUUGCAUCGAUGAAGAACGUAGCGAAAUGCGAUACUUGGUGUGAAUUGCAGAAUCCCGUGAACCAUCGAGUCUUUGAACGCAAGUUGCGCCCGAAGCCAUUAGGCCAAGGGCACGUCUGCCUGGGUGUCACAGACCGUUGCCCGAUGCCAAUUGCCUCGCGAUAGGUACUUUGGUUGUGCAGGGUGAAUGUUGGCUUCCCGUGAGCAUUGCGGCCUCACGGUUGGCUCAAAACUGAGUCCAUGGUAGGGUUUGGCAUGAUCGAUGGUGGUUGAGUGACGCUCGAGACCAAUCAUGUGUGACUCCACUGAGUUUGGGCUCUGUAACCAAUAGGCGUCUUUGAACGCUCGUGAUGAGACCUCAGGUCAGGCGGGGCUACCCGCUGAGUUUAAGCAUAUCAAUAAGCGGAGGUAAAA